GAAAAGCAAGUAGUAAAAGAGGUAACGAGAAAGGUUUCUCCUCGCCUUUGGUGAAAGAGGAAAGGGCAGGGGCAAAGAUUUACACAAGUAUAUCAGCUCUCUUCUUGAACAUAGAUGCUUAGAGAAGACGCAAGGAGUAGGCAGAGGGACAACUAUGGUACUGAAUGAAGAUUUGCCCCAUUUUAUUGAUUAUUUAUUUGGACAUCUUAGAGAAUGGAUACUGUAUUUAGUAAGAGAAGUUCCUCUUCUGUCGAAGAAAGGUAUGAGUUCAAUUCUUGAACUGUAUGUUCACAUCCAUCUAUCCAUCUUCUUUCCUAAAUUAUGUUAUAGUUAUUUAUAAUAUGUUCCUCUGUGAUUUACCUGUGGAACAUAUUAGAUUUGAAGAGAGUAGUGUUAUCUCUAAAGAAAAAUAGCAAGAAAUCAGAAAAAUUGUGUCUUCCUUUCUAUUUUGUUUUACACUAUGUUGCAAAGUUUUUUAGAUUUUAGACUGCCUUGCUUUACCCACUUCAAUUUAGAACCGAUGUCUUUAAACUCGGCUCGAGCAUCGGACGCGGCCCUAGCUCAGCUGAGUAACUCGGCUGAGUCUGAGCAAUCAGAUUGCCUUAUUUCUUGAUGCAUCAUAGAAAAUCGGGCUGUGUUUGUAACUUUCUAAAAAUCAUCCUUUAGUUUUUGUAUUGUUUUUGUCUUCUUUAUUUUAUCGUUUGCUAUUAUUUUUCCAAGGGAUUAGCCAGUGCAAUGGAUCAGAGACUCAUUUGCCUCUCAGAUAUUAUAGAUUAUCACAACCCCGUGUUUUGAAACCACCGAUUCCCGAUUUGGAUGGGAAUCCCCAAUUUGGAUGGGAAUCAUCGGAAGCGAACCGGUUCUGAAUUGCAUAGACUCGGGCCCCGCUUUCCCUUUAAAAAUCCUCAUUAUAUAUUUUUUAUCUUUUUUUUAUCUUAUUUAAUAUUUUAUUGGGUCCCAUUUAUAUCCCCACCCUAUAAACCUCUAAUUUAAUUUUUAUUUUAUCUCAUUAAUGUUUAGGAAAUUGUUUGAUGCGGGCUGGUACACAUUUCUACAAUAUUUGGUCCAGAGGUAUAAAACAUCCAUCUUCAAGAGGGAUGCAAAUAGGUGGUCCAUCUAAAAUCAGGUGUAACUAAUGGUCCAAAUGUUUUUUUAAUAUAAUUAUUAUUUCUAAUUUUCAAACCUUUGUUUCUUUUUUUUUUCAUAUUCAUGAUCUUCAUGUUGAAGAUUAUAUAUUCUCUAAAAACUAGGAUCAAAUUAUAUUUAAAAAUCUAUUUAGUGACAAGCUCGCAUUUUUACAAUAUGUGGGCUGGCAGCAUGUCCUUUAUGUUUUAAAUUUUUUUUAGAUCACCAAUUCUGGCCAAUCGAAACCCAUACCGGAUCACCAAUCCAAAGCCCAAACGAUUCGGGUUUUGAAACAUUGAUUGCAGCAAUUUGUUCCAUAUUCCGUUGUUUUUCCAAUUUCUCUAUUUUUUUCAAAUUUUAAAAUUGUUUCCACAUUUAAAUUAGGUGGUCAUUGCAAUGCAUAGUUUGGGCCUGACAGUAUCACUAUUUUGGUUUACAUUUUCAUUGUCUUUUGGUUAGUAAGCUGGGUUUCUUUGAGGCACAGAGUUCUAACCAUGAUUGAUUCCUUUGAAAACUGAGAUUCAGACCACGGAGCUAAUGCUGCAAUUAUUUUACAAGUUUUCAAUUAUGCUAAUGAGGGAUCAUAUUUUCAUAUUGUUCCGUAAGUUUAGUUUNNN
rnacentral:lncRNA from 1 species